CGGGUUUGAAUUGCAGAUGCUAUCUUAAGAGAUUAAGAGUUCCUUCGGGACGUCUGUGAAGGUGCUGCAUGGCUGUCGUCAGCUCGUGCCGUGAGGUGUUGGGUUAAGUCCCGCAACGAGCGCAACCCUUAUCGUUAGUUGCCAGCAUUUAAGGUGGGGACUCUAGCGAGACUGCCUGGGUUAACCAGGAGGAAGGUGAGGAUGACGUCAAGUCAGCAUGGCCCUUAUGUCCGGGGCUACACACGUGAUACAAUGGUUGGUACAGAAGGCAGCAAAGCUGAAAGGUGGAGCAAAUCCUAGAAAGCCAAUCCCAGUUCGGAUUGUAGUCUGCAACUCGACUACAUGAAGUUGGAAUUGCUAGUAAUGGCGUGUCAGCAAUAACGCCGUGAAUACGUUCCCGGGUCU
rnacentral:rRNA from 1 species